AGCGAACGCUGGCGGCAGGCCUAACACAUGCAAGUCGAACGAACCUUUCGGGGUUAGUGGCGGACGGGUGCGUAACACGUGGGAACGUGCCUUUAUGUUCGGAAUAACUCAGGGAAACUUGUGCUAAUACCGAAUGUGCCCUUCGGGGGAAAGAUUUAUCGCCUUUAGAGCGGCCCGCGUCUGAUUAGCUAGUUGGUUGAGGUAAUGGCUCACCAAGGCGACGAUCAGUAGCUGGUCUGAGAGGAUGAUCAGCCACAUUGGGACUGAGACACGGCCCAAACUCCUACGGGAGGCAGCAGUGGGGAAUCUUGCGCAAUGGGCGAAAGCCUGACGCAGCCAUGCCGCGUGAAUGAUGAAGGUCUUAGGAUUGUAAAAUUCUUUCACCGGGGACGAUAAUGACGGUACCCGGAGAAGAAGCCCCGGCUAACUUCGUG
rnacentral:rRNA from 1 species